UCAACUUCGAGGUCAUAUUCCUUUUCAAUACUACCAAUAUAGCCUCCAUUUCUUUAAUUUUUAAAAAUAUAGCAUGAUGCUGAGAUGAAUAUGAAAUUUCGGCUAUAGGGACUUCCUGAUUAUGCACGACCACAAGGGCUUCACCACUCCUCCCCCAGAUUGUACCAAUCCUACCCCAUUAUAAGAAGUCUUCACCAACUCUGAGUGUUUGGGAACAAGAAAAAAGGAAGAUGCCCAAAAGAAUGAUGAGUUUUGGUUCUUUCAAGCGCAACCGAACUUCCAAUUAUUUGCCAAUCUAGCUUCUUCAUUGAAGAACUGGAAAGGAAGGUUCUUUAUUCUCUGAAGCAGGGAAUGGACUGGUUGUGAAAGGAUUCCUCAAAAUUAGAAUUAUCAAGCAUGCCCAUGCAUCACUUAUAAAAAUGUAUUUAUGUAGUUGAACAUUAGGCACGUUUUAUAUUGCAUUCAUAAUUGUUGAAGUGUCAUGGAUGUUGUUUGUGGUAAUUUGGAGCAGUGUGUGUGCGUGGCGUGCGUGUGAUAUGGGAUUGGAUGAGGGAGCUGAGCUCCCAUUUGAAUUAUGAUAAUUUGAUUAUGAGGAGGGUGAG